rnacentral:rRNA from 1 species
GACGAACGCUGGCGGCGUGCUUAACACAUGCAAGUCGAACGGAAAGGCUCUGCUCUUGCGGUUUGCCCGAGUGCCGAACGGGGGAGUAACACGUGAGUAACCUGCCCUUGCCUUUGGGAUAACUUUAGGAAACUGGGGCUAAUACCGGAUAGGAGCUCCUGCUGCAUGGUGGGGGUUGGAAAGUUUCGGCGGUUGGGGAUGGACUCGCGGCUUAUCAGCGUGCUGGUGGGGUAGUGUCUUACCAAGGCUUUGACGGGUAGCCGGCCUGAGAGGGUGACCGGCCACAUUGGGACUGGGAUACGGCCAGGACUCCUACGGGAGGCAGCAGUGGGGAAUAUUGCACAAUGGGCGGAAGCCUGAUGCAGCAACGCCGCGUGCGGGAUGACGGCCGUCGGGUUGUAAACCGCUUUCGCCUGUGAAGGAGCGUGAGUGACGGUAAUGGGUAAAGAAGCACCGGCUAACUACGUG